UACGUAGGCAGCAAGCGUUGUCCGGAUUUAUUGGGUUUAAAGGGUGCGUAGGUGGUCCCAUAAGUCGGUGCUGAAAUAUCCCGGCUUAACCGGGAGGGUGGCAUUGAUACUGCGGGACUUGAGUAAAGUUGAGGUAGGCGGAAUUGACGGUGUAGCGGUGAAAUGCUUAGAUAUCGUCAAGAACACCUAUUGCGAAGGCAGCUUACUAAGCUUUAACUGACACUGAGGCACGAAAGUGUGGGGAUCAAACAGG
rnacentral:rRNA from 1 species